CACACACACACACACAAAAGAGAGAGAUAGACACUAUAUUCUUUCCCAGAUUUCCAUUUAUUAUUUUCUCAAAUAUUCCAGCAAAAAAUAAAGAGAUAAUGAAUUCAGAAUCGUUAGAAAAUCUCCACCGACCACUGAUUGAAUCAUCGAAAUCGUUCAUCGACUACCGGCUCGAGACUGUCUUAACUGACCGAGAACUGCCAUACCUCCGCCGGAUCUACCUGGCGAUGAUGAUAGAGAUGAAGUUCCUCUUCCACCUUGCCGCUCCGGCGAUCUUCGUCUACGUCAUUAACAACGGAAUGUCCAUCCUCACUCGUAUCUUCGCCGGCCACGUAGGCAGCUCGCAACUCGCCGCCGCUUCACUCGGAAACAGUGGUUUCAACAUGUUCACUUAUGGACUUCUGCUCGGUAUGGGAAGUGCGGUGGAGACGUUAUGUGGACAAGCGCAUGGAGCUCAUCGUUACGAGAUGCUCGGCGUGUACCUCCAAAGAUCAACGGUGGUUCUCAUCAUCACCUGUCUCCCCAUGUCGCUCCUCUUCAUCUUCUCCAAGCCUCUCCUCAACACACUCGGCGAGCCAGAACAAGUCGCGUCAAUGGCUUCCGUCUUCGUCUACGGCAUGAUCCCAGUGAUAUUCGCCUACGCAGUUAACUUCCCCAUCCAGAAGUUCCUCCAAGCUCAGAGCAUCGUCACGCCGAGCGCUUACAUCUCCGCAGCUACUCUGGUCAUCCACCUUGUCCUCUCAUGGAUCGCUGUGUAUCGACUAGGGUUUGGUCUCUUGGCUUUGUCUUUGAUCCAUAGCUUGUCGUGGUGGAUCAUCGUCGCGGCUCAGAUUGUUUACAUCAAGAUGAGUCCGAAAUGUCGCCGGACGUGGGAAGGUUUUAGCUGGAAAGCUUUUGAAGGUCUUUGGGACUUUUUCCGGUUAUCGGCGGCUUCAGCGGUGAUGCUCUGCCUAGAGUCGUGGUACUCUCAGAUUCUUGUUUUACUCGCCGGACUUCUCAAGAACCCUGAGCUUGCUUUGGAUUCUUUAGCUAUAUGCAUGUCAAUUUCUGCAAUCUCGUUCAUGGUCUCCGUUGGAUUCAACGCAGCUGCAAGUGUGAGAGUAAGCAAUGAGUUAGGAGCUGGAAAUCCAAGAGCGGCUGCGUUUUCAACGUUUGUAACGACAGGAGUAUCAUUAUUGCUAGCGGUUUUUGAAGCCGUUGUGGUCAUGUCGUGGCGAAAUGUCAUCAGCUAUGCGUUUACUGAUAGUCCUGAGGUGGCCGAGGCCGUUGCGGAUUUAUCUCCCUUUUUAGCCAUCACCAUUGUCCUCAAUGGAGUUCAGCCUGUUUUGUCAGGUGUGGCUGUUGGGUGUGGAUGGCAAGCAUUUGUGGCGUACGUUAACAUUGGUUGUUACUACGUUGUGGGAAUUCCGAUUGGGUUCGUACUUGGUUUCACCUAUGACAUGGGAGCAAAGGGAAUAUGGACAGGGAUGAUUGGUGGCACAUUAAUGCAAACCAUAAUCCUAGUGAUUGUUACCUUUAGAACUGAUUGGGAUAAAGAGGUGGAGAAAGCUUCGAGCCGACUGGACCAAUGGGAAGAGAGCCGUGAGCCGCUUCUGAAGCAGUAAACAAUGGUCAAUAUUUUUGAGAGUAUUACAUGAAAGAUGCCAAUUUAAUUGAUAAACACACAUAUUUUUUCAAUCGAAAAAUGUAUGUUGUUUUGUUGAUUAAUGACUCGGAAAUUUAUUUAUUUAUUCCUGGAAAAAGGGGGAGAGGAAACAAAAUUGUAAUCAGUAUUUCAGUGUGAGAGUGAAUAUAUGUAUUUUUAUUAAAGAGAGUGAGUUUUCACACCAA